rnacentral:lncRNA from 1 species
CUCACUGUCUGCUACAGUAGCCUGUAGUACCUGACUUCUGAGUCCUUGGAAAGUGCUAGUCUGAACUGAGGUGUGCUGUACAUGUGAAAUACACGGCACAUUUCAAAGACUUCCUAUGUUCGUGGUGGCAAACCUGUGGCACGUGUGCCACCGCUGACUGUUAUCAUUGAAAGCUCUAAAAGGUUCGCCAUCACUGUCUAUGUGAUAAUAUAACCCAUCUGCACUCGUAACUUUUAAAUCAAGUGCAUAUUAAUAUAAUAUUUUCAGUAUGUUUGGUCAUAAUUAAUUUUCCUGCUGCUCUUUGCCUUUUCAGUGUGGCUACUAGAAAGUGGUUUGGCUGCUCAGAUAUUUCUACUGUAGAGCAUCAUUCUAAAAUUUGGAGCUGGUCAUUCUCCGGGGAGUGGAGCGGCUGCUGGAUAAAGGCUAGGUGGGUAGGGGGCAGGUGACAGGGAUUGAAGAUAGGAGGGUGACAGAAGAGGAAGUGGAGAAGAAAGGAGAGCAGCAGCUUAGUAAUUGAGGCCUCAAAGAGAUUGUAACCAGCAUCUCCCGUCACACCUGAGAAUGAACAGACAGCAAAGUAAGCACGGGCCCUAUUUGCUUUGCUCCUAGCAACAGCUCCCAGAUGGUUAUGCCCCAGCCCGGCUGAGCCUACCAGCUGCUUUGCAAGCACCUAACAGCCUGGUCAUGGCAUCGUAUGGGAAAGGAGCAAGAAGGAAAAGCAGAUUUAAAGGAUCUGAUGGAAGCACUUCAUCUGACACUACCUCAAACAGUUUCGUUCGUCAGGUGAGGAAGCUCUUAAGUUCAUGGCUUUGCGAAGUACAUUGAAAUGAAAUGCUUAAGAUUUAUAUGGUAUGCUUUUACUUUAUAUUGAAGUGAAAAUUGUGCUGUUUAAUGUCAUGAUGAAAAUAUUUAUAUUUU